AUUGACAGGGUCAUAUAUAACGUAGAAAGAGUGGAUGAAGUCAAGGGGUGCUUUCAAGGCUUUAUAUGACUGAAUUUAUAUUUGGGACUUAAAAGAAGGGUGUCCCACUGCAUGUGGCUCCUGCCACUGCAGAAUCUGGGGAGGCUCAGAUUUGCAAUCCUUAUCUCCGAGUGCAAAGAGGCUCUUUCCAUGUUUCGAACCAUGACAUCCAUAUCAAAAGUUGGAGCAACCUUUCCAUUGUGCUAAGGUCUGCUCUCUGUGUGUGGGAUUUAACUGGAAUAAUUUAUUAAGAUGUCAGUAGCAUACACAAUGUUGUUUUGUUUCAAAAUAUUAAGCACCAGGCACAGAAGAUGACAUAGUUGGGAUGAUAAUGCUAAGGUAGAUGCACAGUAUAAUGCAGGAGGACAUGGUGAGAAUAGAUUACAGUAGAUGAAGCAUAAGUUGCACCUCAUGGAUGAACUGGUGAAAAACUGAUUGACAUAUUACAAGCUUCUGUGAUGGUGAUCUGAUGAGCUUCUUAUGGGGAGAGGGGAUUAUAUUUGUAGUAAAUUUGUUUUAGAAAGAAGACAGAGAUCUAAGAUCAACUUGGAUGAAAGUUGUGAUUUUGGAUUCAUAGAAGUUGGUGGUGAUGAUCCAUGUGGCCCAUACUACCAGAAAUUGUUUCAGUGAUAUCACAGUGGGGAAAUCCUUGUUGGUUAUAGACCUCAUGCGUUUUCACAUCAGUGGAAGUUCGAGCAGUAGCCUAGUGCACUUGUACUUAAUUUCAUGGACAAUAUACUCAUUGGUUACUAGAGGACAUUUUAUUUUUCAAAAGAUUUACUAAGAUAUCUGUUGAGGUAGGUCCUCGUCACUUAACCGACCUCAUCCAACCGACCUCGAUCGGAGGCCCACCUCGGAAAAAGCCGACCUCAUUAGAAGACCGUGGUCCCCAGGAGGCCGACCUUGUCUGAAAACUGAGGUCGGUGAUAGUCCAACUUCAAUAUCACCUGGAUGUAGUGGGUCCAAGUUGAAGACUACAUCGGCCAACGACCGGCUUGUUUCUACAGUGGCUUCAGCGAGAAACUGACGUCAGCUGUCUACGGUGUUUGAUACUUCAGAUCGGACAUCUACCGACCUGACCUUCCAACCCUACUCGACGAGCCCAGAAUUGCUGGCACAUGGUGUACUCAUCUUGGAUUGCUUUUAACCCCUUUCAUCUUGCCUCGGCUAAUGGCCGAUCUGGAUAUCGACAUCGACCAAACUACUAGAGGUCAAGUGAGGCCGUCAUGCAGUCAUAUCGAGUCAUAUCAAGCCACGUCAUCCUGAGGUCAUACCCUAAGCGGUCUGCUCCGUGUCGUGAUAGGACACCACAGAGUCAUUAAUUGUACCAUGCACGUGCAAUGAGGCCCACCGCUGUAACCAUCGGUGCUCCAGACAAAAGGCAUGCCCGCUGAUAGGGCCAUUUAAAGAUACCCCCAUGUGGCUUUUUAUGAUUGGACGUUAUCGGAAUACAUUCCCAUCCUUUCGUCCUUCAUCCUGCUCUCUCUAUAAAUGGAGACAAGAGAAGAAUCCCAGGAGGUACGCGCGCUCAAACACUCAGAGUCCGAAACUCUACCUCAUUCGCUUCUCCAUUUCUUGAGUUGAAAAUUAACUUGAGCGUCAGAGUGUCUUUGUCGGAGCCAUCUCCGGCAUGGGCUUUUCUUGUAGGUCUCUCUACUGCCACCGGACGCCGCCGGCUGACCUUUUCGUCCGGUCCGAGUUGACCUUACUCCCGUUCAGUGUAUUGUGAGCCCUCAUUCUCGUUCUCGGCCCUCUCGACUGUGACCUCUCUUUGGCGAGCGAUCCUUCUUCACCUGUUUUCUAUCGUUCAACACUCAAGCAUGACGAUCCGACUACCCCACCCGAGACAAGCUACAACAGCUUGGUGUGCCAGGAAGGGGAAAGGAGAAAAUCCUUCCAGGAGUCAUAAUGGUCAAGACAAAAGUGCAAAAUGCUUCCUUCAGUUUCGCUCGACGCUCAUCGCAGCGUGACACGCUUUCGACGAUCUUCGAGGAGCCGAGUGCCUCACAAUCGGAGUAAAUAGUGGACCAGCAACAUCUUGCCGUCUUGGUACAGCAAGUUAGAGCACUGAUGGAGGUUGUCCAUAGUCUCUAGCAGACUGUGAAGCAAUAGCAAUAACAGCAAUGGCGGACAGAUGAUUCGGUGCCGCGGGACGUGCCCUCUAGGUAGAGUCCCCGGCUCCGUUCUCCAUCUUGCCACUUGUCUCGACGCUCCCACCAGAUGGCUUCUCAACCCAUCCGACGAUUGCCGUAGGCUGACUCUCGACGCAAUCUAUAUGUCACUUCUAACGAUCGCUGGUCUCCUUCCUCUCGACGAGCUUCACACAAGAGAAAAAAGCCAUGAUCUCCGUCAAAGUCUUCUAGGGAAGGUUCUACCCUCGGAUAUUCCAAGCACCUCGAUGAAUCUCAACGGCGGCUGGAUGAAUACGACCUCAAGCUGAAGGAGUUUGAUCGAUGCUUGAAUCAGCUCCAAGCGAACAAUCAAGAUUUUAUCAGUGAGCUUGACGUCAGCUCCCGUCUGCCCUUCUCUCGACGAAUUUUUGAUGAAUCAAUUUCAGAUCGGUUCAAGAUGCCGCACGUGGAACCGUACGACGGCUUCACUGAUUCGCUCGACCACCUCGAGAGCUACAAAGCUCUCAUGCUUGUUCAGGGGGCAUCGACGCCCUCCUCUGCAUCACCUUCCCGAUCAUCCUCAAGAAGAUCACUCGGAUAUGGUACUCCGGACUUCAAUCAAGAAGUAUCCAUUCGGACUUCAAUCAGGGAGUAUCCAUUCGUUCGACCAGCUCGGACAGCUUUUCUUCACGCACUUCGGUAUCAAUCGGAAGGUGCCGCGGAUAUCUGACAGUCUUUUCUCUGUCAGGCAAUUAGUCGGAGAAUCUUUACGAGAUUUUGUGGUGCGCUUCAAUGCUACUACCUUGGAAGUUCGGAACCUCGACGAGUCGAUGGCCAUUGCGGCUAUGAAGCAGGGAUUACGCAGUUCCAAGUUUACCUACUCCCUGGACAAGAUGCUUUGUCGGACAUUUGUCGAACUCCUCGAGUGCGCGUAGGAUCUGAAGAAGAUCAAGAAAGAAGGAACCUCUGCGGGACCUAGCCGAGCCUGUGCUGAGUGGGAGGCUCCACCUUCCUGACCAAGCCCAAGACCAAAGAACUUUGGCUUCAGGUAUGAUUCCUACACCCCUCUAACCACUCCUCGUGCGCAAAUCCUCAUGGAGAUAGAGGGGGAGGACUACUUUCGAUGAUCCCAAUCGAUGAAGAUAAAAGCAGCAUUCCGAAAUCGGAGGUGCUAUUGUCGGUUCUAUCACGACUACGGCCACGACACCGAGAGGUGCAUCAAGCUGAAGAAUGAGAUUGAGGGUUUAAUAAGAUGGGGAUAUCUUGCAAAGUACGUGCAGGGCUGACCUACGCAGUGACCUGGUGACUCUCAGCCUAAGCCGCACUCCGACGAGGAAGUUCACACUCAACCUACGACGGGCAUGAUCAACGUGAUCUCGACGGGACCAAGACUUCAGGGAUCUAAUGACUCAAAAAGCUCCUCCAAACGUCGGCGAUUAAACGACGACAUCGUUUUCUCCGAGGAAGAUUUGCAAGAAGUCCAAACUCUUCAUAAUGAUGUUGUUGUUGUAUCAAUGAUGAUAGCUAAUUAUGAUGUUAAAUGAUGUCUUAUUGAUAAUGGAAGCUCGAUCGAUGUGAUUUUUUACUAUUGUUUUUUUCAAAUAUGACUUUCUAUUGAUCGACUUAAGUCAGUCAGCGCUCCCUUAAUCGGACUUAGGCGACUCAAUUAAGGUAGAAGGGGAGAUAAAACUUCAUGUUACUAUCGAGUGACUACCUCAACAAUUGAUCGUGCAACUCAACUUUCUUGUAGUCCGGUUUCUUCCACCUACAAUGUUAUCUUGGGGCGAGCCAAGCUGAACGAGCUCCAAGCAAUCGUCUCAAUGUAUCACUUGCUCGGGCGCUUCCCGACGAAAAAAGAAGCUGAUGAAAUGUGGGGAGAUCAGCAGCUGGCCCGAUAAUGUUAUUUAACCAUUGUCAAAGGAAAAAGGCCAGUUGAAGCUCUUUCCAUCGACGACGGACUGGACCAAAGAGAGAAAAAAAGUCGAGAACCUGCAGAGUGACUCACAUCGGUGCCCCUCAACGAGAACCCGAUCAGAACUGUUUAGGUUGGAUCUUCUUUAAGCGACGAACUGCGGGAGAAGCUAAUCAACUUUCUGAGAAAGAACGCAGAUGUCUUCGUCUGGUUUGCCUCAGAUAUGCCGGAUAUUCCAUCUGAUGUAAUUGUCUACUGACUAAAUAUCAACGCCAAGCACAUGCCAAUGAGACAAAAGAAAAGAAAUUUUGCUUUUGAGUGACAGAAGACCAUCGACGAGGAGGUCAACAGAUUGCUAGUAGCCGACUUCAUUCGCGGGACGACUUAUCCAGAUUGGCUCACGAAUGUUGUGAUGGUCAAGAAAGCUAAUGGCAAGUGGCAAAUAUGCAUUGACUACACCGAUCUGACUAAAUUUGUUCGAAGGACAGCUUUCCACUGUCCCUGAUUGAUCAACUGGUCGACGUCACGUCGGUUCAUUACCUGUUCAGCAUCAUGGAUGCCUUCUCCGGCUACAAUCAGAUUCAGAUGGCAUCGGAGGACAAGGAGAAGACGGCGUUCAUUACCAACAAAGGCUUGUACUGCUACAAAAUCAUGUCUUUUGGUCUCAAGAAUGUCGGGGCUACAUAUCAGAGAUUGGUCAACAAAGUCUUCAAGAAUCAGAUCGAUCGCAACAUGGAGAUCUAUGUUGAUGAUAUGCUCGUGAAAAGCUAGGAAGCUGUUCUCCAUAUCAACGAUCUGGCAGAAGCUUUCAACGUCCUGAGGAGACAUCGGAUGAAACUGAAUCUGAUUAAGUGUACCUUUAAUGUCACGUCAAAAAAAAUUUUUGGUUUCAUGGUGAUGAAGCGAAGCAUUGAGGCCAACCUUGAGAAGAUCAAGCCGGUUCUCGACAUGAAGCUUUCGACUUUUCGGUGGGAUAUUCAGAUGCUGGUGGGAUGCGUGGUGUCUUUGAGCCGGUUCAUCUCCAAGUCUGCAGAGCGAUGUCUCUCUUUCUUCAAAACUCUCAAGCAAAUGUACUUCAUCUGGAUGGAAGAAUGUCAAAAGGCUUUAGACGACCUGAAGCGGUACCUCAGUCCUCCACUUCUAACAAAGUCAAAUACCGACGAUGAAUUACUCAUGUAUUUGGCUGACUCCUGAAGUCGUCAACUCGGUACUUGUCCGAGAAGAAAAUAAGAUGCAGAAACCGAUCUACUACAUAAGUCGGGUGCUAUGCGGAGCGGAAGCCAGAUAUCCUUGGAUCGAAAAGUUGGUCUUCACGAUCAUCAUGACGACUCGAUGACUACGAUCUUAUUUUCAGGCCCACUCAGUGAAGAUCUUGACGACCUCCCCCUGAGGAGUCUACUUCAAUGUUAGACACUUUGGGGAGGAUGGCUAAAUAGAUGGUCGAACUCAGUGAGUUCGAUCUCUUUUAUGUUCCACGAUCCUCAAUGAAGCUCAGAUACUUGUCGACUUUCUUGUCGAGUACACUCUAACCGACGACAGUCAAGUCGAGGAUUGCUCUCAAGGAGAAACUUCAGAGCCUGCAUGGAUUUUACAUGUAGAUGGAACCUUAAACGCUCAAGGUUGUGGUGCGGGUCUUAUUUUGACCAACAUCGAUGGGAUGGUGAUUGAGUACGUCCUUCGAUUUUAUUUCAAAGCUUCUAACAAUCAAGCUGAAUAUGAAGUUCUGAUAGUCGGACUGAAAAUCGCCAAAGAUCUCGGUGUCAAAUGCCUAAGGGUGUGCACCGACUCGCAGCUGGUCGCUAGACAAUCUCAAAGAGAAUAUGAGACCCGAGAUCCAAUUCUUUUCAGAUAUCUAUAGAAACUCAGAUUUUUGCAAAUAAAUUUUGAUUAUUUCGAGGUCUACCAUAUUCUCCGCUCGAAGAAUGUUCGAGCUGAUUUUCUGUCCCGGCUCGCCACAUCUGGCUGCGGCGAGUUAGAGAGGAUCUUUAUCGAGCAUCUUGAAAAUUCAAGUAUCGACUCCGAGCAGGAAGUUCAUCAGGUUUAGGUUGGUCAUGAAUCGAGUUGGAUCGAUCCGUUCGUUGAGUUCCUGAUCAAUAGAACCUUACUGGCUGAUCCUAUCAAGGCAGGCCGAAUGAGGAGACUGGCUGUCCGAUACGUGAUCAUCGACGACCAACUCUACCGUAGAUUGGCAUCUUUGUCCCUGCUCAAGUGCCUCCGGCCUUUUGAAGCCGACUACGCUCUUUGGGAGGUGCACGAGGGCACUUGCAGCAACCACUUGGGGGGUAAGUUGCUGUCCUACAAGAUACUGCAGUAAGAAUAUUAUUGGCCGAUCAUGCAGAAGGAUGUGUCCACCUCAUACAGAAGUGAGACCAAUGUCAGAGGUUUGCCAAUGUUCAAAGACUUUCGUCAAGUCAACUCACGACCAUCUCGGCACCAUGGUCGUUCGAUCAGUGAGGAGUCGAUAUACUUGAUCUUUUUCCACCUACCAGUGGACAAAGGAGGUUCAUCAUCGUGGCCAUUGACUACUUCAUCAAAUAGAUGGAGGUCGAGCUGCUGGUGCAGAUAACAGAAAGAAAAACUACCGACUUCUUGUGGAAAUCCAUCAUGUGCCGCUUUGAUCUACCCCGAGUGAUCAUCACCAAUAAUGGCUGAUAAUUUGACAACACUAGGUUUAAGAAAUUCUGCGCAAAGUACCACAUUAUCUACAGAUUCAUCUCGGUCGGGCACCCACAAUCUAAUGGAGAAGUUGAGGUGACUAACAGGACUAUUCUAUAAGGUCUGAAGACAAAAAUUAAUCAAACCAAAGGAUGUUGGGCUGACGAACUCCCCAGUAUCCUGUGGUCUUACCGAAUGACUCCUCGGAUCUCGACGAAAGUGACCGCCUUCAAACUGACAUUCAGAACGGAAGCUGUGAUUCCGAUUGAAAUCAGCCUAACUUCGGCUCGGAUGGAGCACUGCGACAAUCAGACCAAUUCAAACAAGCGACGAGCUAACCUGGACUUGCUCGAUGAGAUCCGAACACAAGUCCAACUGAGGAUGGCUUCCUAUCAGCAAAGGGUAGCUCGGCACUACAACUCCUGAGUUGAGCCCAAGAUCUUUCAAAUUGGAGACCUAGUCCUAAGGAGAGCCAAAGUCUCCAAACCAGCCGAGCAAGAAAAGCUGUCCCCGAAUUGGAAAGAUCCCUACAAGAUUUCAGUGGUUCUACGAUCUGGAGCAUACAAGAUUGAGCCUGGAUGGUACUGAGAUUCCUCGGAUCUGGAAUAUCGAGAAUCUACGGAUGUAUUAUCAAUAGGAACACCUUGUAAAUAAAAAUUUUUCUUUCCUACAAUUUUGUGUUAAACAAUUCAACUUUCGGAGGCUUGACCCUCGACCGAAUCAGAGGUCACCUCGGCCAGGUCCGAAGUGCAACGACGGAAAACCUUGGUCAAGGACCCAGGUCGCCUCGAUGAGAUUCGAGGCACAGCAAACGACGAUGCUCCUCUACGAUGGAAUGGCCUACAACAAAAACCCUCAUCAAGGCCCCAAGUUACCUCGGUGAUUUUCGAGGUACAGUGCGGUUGAGAUCGUUGACGGGACAUGAGGUUACCUCGACAAAAUUCGAGGUACAACAGCAGUACUGACAAGACACGAGGUCACCUAGACAAUAUCCGAGGAGGAACUAAGAAAUCAACAAGCCCCUUCACAAGUUGGCCAUGCCCUUGGCAAGACCAAUUCUACGGAGGGCAGACGACUCGAGAUGUUCCUUCGACUUGGAAAACUCCUCCAGACAUCAGUGAUUUGGUAUCCAACGAGAUGUUAUUCGGUUAAUACUCAUUUAAUGGAGCUGUGGAGUCCGGCAACUAUUAGCGUGCCAACUCUGGUCGAAGGAUCGUUGGAGUAUAAGCUAUAGUUCGUAGCACAGACCCAGACGAAAUCCGACGUUAUUCGGCUAAUGCCCGUUUAACAGAGCCGUGGAGUCCGGCAACUGUUAGCGUGCCAGCUCUGACCAAAAGACCGUUGGAGUAUAAGUUACAGUUCGCAGUGCAGACCCAAGCGAAACCUGAUGUUAUUCGGCUAAUGCCCAUUUAAUAGAGCCAUAAAGUCCGGCAACUAUUAGCGUGCUAGUUUUGGCUGAAGGGUCGCUAGGGUAUAAGCUACAGUUCGCAGCGCAGAUCCAGGUAAAAAAAGUUGUGGUUAGUCGGUUUGUCCCCGAUUGAUCAAGGAUCAGUUGAUCCAAAAUGAAGCGGAGAUACGAUCAUGCUCUGCCUCAAUUACCAUGCUUCGAACUUGACGAGAUGCUCUGCAGAAUGGUGACCCACAUCUCGAAACAACAAAUCCGCUGCACGCGGCUUUCAGAGAUGGUCGUCAGAAAAAGCUACUUGAACCCAUACAUCGGUUAACUCCUUUUGCCCGAUGAACACUACGUGAUCGGACUCAGGAGUUGGGGGGUAAGUGUUGGGGUAGGUUCUCGUCACUUAACCGACCUCAUCCAACCAACCUUGAUCGGAGGCCCACCUCGGAAAAAGCCGACCUCAUGAAGACCGUGGUACCCAGAAGGCCGAUCUCGUCUGAAAACUGAGGUCGGUGAAAGUCCGACCUCAACAUCACCUGGACGUGGCGAGUCCAAGUUGAAGACUACAUCGGCCAACGAUCGGCCUGUUUCUACAGUGGCUUCGGCGAGAAACUGACGUCAGCUGCCUACGGCGCCUGAUACUUUAGAUCGGACAUCUACCGACCUGACCUUCCAACCCUACUCGACGAG
rnacentral:lncRNA from 1 species